GGCGGCAAGGAAGGCACCAGCAACCAACACACUGCCCUGCAGCAAAGGCUAUAUAAGGGGCAGCUUGUCUCGUUGAGAUCCCAACCAAGACAGCCACCUUUACCUACGAGUUGUAGAAUGUGCAUCAUCCUGCUCUAGAGUCUUCAGAAGCAAGAAAGGAUGGAGAACAACAGCAACAGCCAGCCGCCUCCACCACCAGGCUACCCGACCGCGUCAGGUGCAGAGCAGCAGGGAGGGCGGAAGGGGCGCCGGGGGAAGACGACCUCUCGCGGAGAGAAAGGAUUCAUCGAAGGAUGCAUCGCGGCGCUGUGCUGCUGCUGGAUCUGCGAGAUGUGCUGCGACUGAUAAGCCGCCGGCCUUCACCGUGCUGCAUACAGAGCGUCCAUUCUGAAAGCAGAGGCCUCCGCUUUCAGAAGGGAGGCGUCGCGUCGUGUUGAUCUACUUACGAUUCCAGCUGUUGCUUGAUGUUUGCGUAGGGAGCGAGCUUAUUAAUAACUGAAGAAGACGACGAUGCAUCAUCAGUGUCUCUGUGUUGUGCUCCAGUAGUAGUACUUGUACCUCCACACCACACCCUGUAUGCUACCGUUGCUUGUAUUGAAGGUGCCGGUCUCUUCUUCCCAACAUUAAGAUAACCCAGGUUCAUUAAUACCACCAAAAAAUAAGUUUAAGUAUUGGUUCAUUAUUACCCAGUUAGAGCAACUAAGUAAGAACUACCCUACAUUAAGAUCCUACAUUAAGAUAAUCCAGGUUGAACAAGGUGCUAGGCACACCUUAAAUAGGACCCAUCAUAUUUAUAUACUUAAAGUGCAUAGCAUAUGUGUAUUGAACAUGAAAGUAAAGGUGGUUUGUAUAGGAUCAAA